UCCGGAUUGGUGUAGGGGUUAACAUUGCCGCCUCUCAUGGAAACUUUCCCACGCAAAGGAUAGUUCCAACAUGAAUCCGCGGCAGCCCGGGGUUCGAUUCCCCGAUCCGGAA